CUCUGUCACGUGUACACAGGAAAGGGCCCUGACAAGAGGAUGGGACUGCAGUUGUGGCUGCCAGGGCCCCGGCCAGGGUGAAAACAAGGAACAUUCCAGAGAAGAUCACAAGGAUGCGAAUAAAAUCGGAGCUGCACAGGGAUCUUUGGGCUGUAAUAGGAGGGGACACACAGGGGUUGGAGUGCAGUGGCACGAUCUCGGCUCAGUGCAACCUCCGCCUCCUGAGUUCAAGUGAUUCUCCUGCCUCAGCCUCCCUAGUAGCUGGGAUUACAGGACAAGGAGAGGGACAAAUUCCUUCUUGGCAUCCUUAUGGCCCUGUGACCUGCUAAUGAAUGCUGACUCUGAGUUGCUACUAGAAUUUGGUUUCCUUGUGGCUUCCCAGGAAUUGUGAGCCAUGUUGGAUAAGGACCUGCAAGGGAAGAAUGAGGAAGCCUGGGACAGUGCAGGAGGGGAGAGCACUGGUGGUAGAGAGGAGUGAUGACAAGGGUCUCCGCCAAAAGGGAAAUGGAGGGGUUAAAGAAGCUGCUGGGGAGGGUUAAAAACAAUGUGUUCUCACUCGUAGGUGGGAAUUGAACAAUGAGAACACUUGGACACAGGAAGGGGAACAUCACACACUGGGGCCUGUCGUGGGGUGUGGGGAGGGAGGAGGGAUAGCAUUAGGAGAUAUACCUAAUGUAAAUGAUGAGUUAAUGGGUGCAGCACACCAACAUGGCACAUGUAUACCUAUGUAACAAACCUGCACAUUGUGUACAUGUACCCUAGAACUUAAAGUAUAAUUAAAAAACAAAACAAAACAAAACAAAAACAAUGAGGUGCUAUUGUUUUAGUGGUGAGUAUCCGGAGACCUGGGAGUUCUAUUUACCAGGUAUAACCUGGGCUCAAAAUUCCAGGCUGACUUCAGGCAUGUCCUCAUCUCAUAGAUGCCAGCACUAAGGCCCAGAGAGGGCCGAGCUCAUUCAGCCCACCCAUCUUCUCACCCCUGACUGCAUUUCCCGGGGGUCCUUCUGCAGCCAGGUGCUGCUGUGGUACUUUGGGAUCUAUUGGCUGAGCUCCCAGAGAAGGGUCAUGGAUUGGGCUAGUUUGGAACAAGUGAAGGGACUGAAGAUGGGCUCAGUAUGGGGCGAAGACCUUCAGGAAGGGUCUGCAGAGUGAGUAGGGGGGUUUUGACUAGGAAAAGUUCCAACCCUGCCGGGGCCGCUGUCAAGAGAAAAGCAUCUAUUACAGUUACAUUUUUAAGUUAAGUAGACUGAAGAAUAUUUCUUGUGUAUUAAAGACGUUCCUUUUUGGUUGAUUUGCAAUGGAAAAGCUUUUGUUUUCUUUUUUUUUUUGGAAACAGGGUCUCACUCUGCUCACUCUGUCUCCCAAGCUGGAGUGCAGUGGUACAGUCACGGCUCACUGCAGCCUCCACUUCCUGGACUCAAGUGAUCUUCUCACUUCAGCCUUCUGAGUAGCUGGGACUACAGCCCCCUCUGCAGCUCUUCAUGGGGGUCCACUCAAGUCAGAAGCCACAUUUGGGUGUGAUUCAGAGAGCUGUUUAUGCAAAACCAGCUUUGUCACCAUCAGGCAAGGCACCUGAAUUCCCACCGCAGAGAGUGUUGUGGCCGUGAGGACUUUUCUGUCACCAGCCAUUUCCAGGUAGACCCAGUGUAAUCACAAGCAUCCUUGUAAGUGGCAAAGAGGCAGAGGAGACAGCGCCAGAGAGGCAGCUGCAUGAGAAGGAUCAAGAUGUUGCUGACUUUGAAGUUGGAAGAAGAAGGCCAUGAGCCUCAGUAUGUGGGCGGCUUCUAGAAGCUGGAAGGGGCAAGGAGAUGGAUUUGACCCUUCAGCCUCCAGGGGCAGCUGUACCUGCCAUCACUGAUUGUAGCCUGGUGAGGCCUGUUUUAGACUUCUGACCUGUAGAGCUGUAACAUAAUACAUUUGGGUUGUUUUCAACCACUAAGUUUGUGGUAAUUUGUUGUAGCAGCUGUAGAAAAUGAAUACAUAUGAAUCCUCUGGCAUUUGUUUGAGAUUUGCUCUAUGGCCUAGUAUGUGGUUGUAAAUGUUCCAUCUGUGCCUGAAAAAAUGUAUAUUUCUAAUUCAGUAGUCUCUGCUUUUUUUUUUUAUUUUGUACCCCAUCAAUAAAAUGAUUUUCAGCAUGUAUCCCCAAAUAAACAAUAUUUUAUUUAUUGAUUGAUUGAUAAACAGACAUGUUUAAUGAUAGCUUGCUUUUCACAGAGGUGACUUCGGAGACUUCUAAUCUAUAAUCCAGGAGUAUAUAACCAUG
rnacentral:lncRNA from 10 species